UUUUUAGAAAAUUUCAAGAGUAAAUUUGUUCUAUUUUGUGGUUCCUUCUACUGUCCCGACCCGGCAGCCACUUUUCUCCUCGAUAACUCUCUGUUCUGCAAGAGGAUUUCCAAUACAGAAAGAGAAUCUCCCUUCUCCGCCAUAAACGGCGGGUCUUCAAGUUCUGCAACUCUCGUUUUUCCUCGCCUUCAAAGAAACCAAAAUGGCCACCGCCGGUUGCAGCACCAACUCCUCUUUGCGGGAGCUGGCGAAAACCAUACGAUCAUUUUCAAAUAAAGCCACCAGCCAUCAUAGCCACCAUCAACAGACGCAUAAGUUCUUGGAGGCCAGUUCCUUCAUAGGCAGCUGGGAGGCACCGAAGAACCCGAAAGAGGCAGAAAGCAGGCUGACCCAGUUGAGGCGAGACUAUGCUAAACAAGUGAAAGAGUUGCGCAAGGAGUACGUGCAUGAGAUGGCGUUGCUCCGCCUUGAGAAGCAGCGGAAGGACGAGGCCAGGAUGCAGACCAUUAGGGCUGCCAAUGAGGAGCGCAAGCGUCUGAAGGCUGAGGUCGCCAAGGUCAGAGCGCAGGAGCGCAUGGUUGCUGAAGAGGAGUUCAGGAGAACCCUUUUGAAAGAAAGAAUAGAAAAGCUUGAAAAUUGGAGGAUGAAAGAAAAAGUGAGGGAAGAUAAGAAGACCGAGAAGAGUAAGCUCCUGUCUCGACAAAGUUCCAUGUGGAUCGAUGAGUCUGAGUUAGAGAAAAAGAUCAAAGAUGCCCUAGAUGACACCACUUCUCUCUGAGUGCCCUUCAAGCAAUGCAGAAUUGACUUACGACACUCACUGCAUAGACAAUAUUUAGUCUCGUGUAGAAUAGGGUACUGAACACUGUGGAUCUAAGAGUGACCUCCACAAUGAAUACGCAACUCUUAAAACCCUACACAGCUGCAGAUGUUUAUACACACACUCGAGCAAAUGCAAUCCUACAAAAGCACCAGGACCUGAUGGGCCAUGAUCAUCACUACAGCUUAGCUCGAAACCUGGGAACCCACAGUACUCUGGCCUGCUCCAUCCCCAGAAUGGAUAACCGAUAUUCUGAAAGCCUCCACAACUUAUUAGCCGGCUGCAAUUCAAGAAGCGAUCAUCGGCAGCAAAGGCAGAGGCAGGGAUAUAGCUUAGGAAUAUGGUUGUGGUGACCAAGAACAGAACUAUUUCGGUGGGCAGAUGAGGAUGUUGAAAAUCAAACAGCAUGCCGCCAGCUUGUACAGAACCGAUCCCAGGCAGAGAAAGAUGCUUAAAUAUUGAGAAGAGAUGAAUGUAAUCGAUUCUACAAAGAUGAACGACUAUGAAGCUGUACAUUGAAAAGAAAAAUUUCAGAAAUUUCAGAUAAGAUCUCUUCAGUGUUUACUACAUCGAUUAUUGACCAAGUAGCGUGACUCGGUCAUUGCAAUAAAAAA